rnacentral:misc_RNA from 1 species
GGAGAAGAAAGAAAGAAAGAGAGGGAACACAAAAUUUAAUCCAAAAACAAAGACGGCUUUUAAGCGUAUCUUUGCUUGUGAAUUUGGCUUUCAUUUUCUCUUUACUCUUUUCUUUCAAUCCAUAAAACGACGAAAAAAAUAACUGAAACAUCUUGUCGCCAUCACAAAAAUGAAAAUAUUAUAAUCAUUUAUCAUUAUUCUCUCAUUCUCUCUCUUUUUCGUUCUUUCUUUCUUUCUUGUUUUGAUCGGAUCUGAAGAACUAGCAAUUCAGGGUUGCAGAAAGGCCGAAUAAUAAUAACAACAACAAUCACAAAGUUGUUUCACUUUCUUAAUUCUCUCCUUCUGAGGUGUGUUUUUGGCCUUUUGGGUUCUCUCAUUACUAAUUCUUUUUCACAGUCAUGCAAGAUUGCUUCUUCUGCAUUGUCUUCUCUCUUGUUUAAUCAGUUCCUUGAUUUUAGAUAUAAACAAAGUAUGAUUUGAAGAUUCUGCCAUUAAUGGCUUGGUUGUUAUUCCUUGCUCCAUCUCUAAAGAUUGUUGUGCUUGGUUGGAUUUUGGUGUGAUAGAGCUGCUGUGAAGGUGCUUCAUGGAUUCAUUUAGUAAUGGAGUUGAUUCUUCUUCAAAGACUCAGAAUUCAACUGCUAUAGUGGGGAACAAUCCUCCAGCCACAUCAUUGGAUCCUCGCUGUUCUCGGCCUCCAUCUGCAAAACAAUCUAGAUAUGAAGGUUCCACCACGUAUUAUGCAAGUGUUAAUAAUCCUGGCAUGAAACAUCCAAAUGGUUCUGCUACAAAUCAGAAGCAUUCCUACAAAAUGGCACAUGAUCCUAUGAAAUACAAAGAAUUGCCUGAUAUGGCCAAACACUACUAUAGUCCACAUAAGGGUAAGCCUGAAUUUGAUGGCUCAAAUGAAGUUCUUAAUCAAUCAGCAGAGGAAGUUUCGAUGGUACAAGCCGAAUCUUUCAUCAAGCAUCCGAUUGAUGAUCCUGAGAGCUCUAAUUCAAGUGGCUCACUUGAAUCUGAAAGUAUUGUCUCAAGUUCAUGUGGAGGAGAUGUUCGGGUGCCGAAUAGCCACGUAGCAUCUCAAUCAGCCAUAAGCUUUUGUUCAAGUCCUUCAAACAGUGUCUACACUGCCACUUGUUAUAUGGAAGCAAAACGAAGUUUCACUGACACAGAAGUUAGUGAAGAAGCAAGCUCUAUUGAGAAACCAGGUGAAAGUGGUGAUAUAAGUAACCCCUACGAUAUUGAGAGCAGGAAGACAAGUAUCUACAGAGGCAGCACAGAUAGCGAUGUUAGCGAUGAAAGAAGCUCCAGCAGUUUAACCGGUACCCUGUACAAGCCCCACAAAGCAAAUGAUAUAAGAUGGGAAGCUAUUCAAGCUGUCCAAUCUCGUGAGGGAGCAUUGGGGUUGAAUCACUUUAAAUUGUUGAGGCAACUGGGAUCUGGAGAUAUAGGCAAUGUUUAUCUAUCUGAGUUGACUGGUACAAGAACUUGUUUUGCUAUGAAAGUUAUGGAGAAAGCAACUCUAACAGCUCGGAAGAAGCUUCCAAGGGCCCAAACUGAACGAGAGAUAUUGCAAUCUUUGGAUCAUCCAUUUCUACCCACUUUGUAUGCACAUUUUGAGACAGAAAAGUUCUCUUGCUUGGUGAUGGAGUUCUGCCCUGGAGGAGACCUACAUACGCUCAGGCAAAGACAACCUGGGAAGUAUUUUCCGGAGCAUGCUGCCCGGUUUUAUGUUGCAGAAGUUCUCCUUGCUUUGGAGUACCUGCACAUGCUUGGGAUCAUUUACAGAGACCUUAAACCAGAGAAUGUUUUGGUGAGGGAAGAUGGGCACAUAAUGCUUUCAGAUUUUGACCUCUCUUUAAGAUGUGCUGUCUGCCCAACUCUGGUCAAAUCAUCACACUUGACCAUGGAGUCAAAAAAUUCAGCAUAUUGCGCGCAGCCUGCUUGCAUUGAGCCAACUUGUGUAAUGCAGCCGGAUUGCAUCCAACCAGCAUGUUUUGGACCACGCUUCUUGUCAAGAAAGGCCAAGAAAGAUAAAAAAGCUAAGCCAAAUAAUGAGACAAAUCAUCAAGUAAGCCCUCUCCCUGAACUGAUUGCUGAACCCACAAAUGCUCGAUCAAUGUCCUUUGUGGGCACGCAUGAGUACUUGGCACCUGAAAUAAUUAAAGGCGAGGGCCAUGGCAGUGCUGUAGAUUGGUGGACAUUUGGCAUCUUCCUUUAUGAGCUUUUGUUUGGUAAAACUCCUUUCAAGGGGGCAGGAAAUCGGGCUACACUGUUUAAUGUAAUUGGCCAUCCAUUAAGAUUUCCAGAAUCGCCUCCUGUGGGUUUUGCUGCUAGGGACUUGAUCAGAGGUUUACUUGUGAAAGAACCACAGCAUCGUCUUGCCUAUAGGCGAGGAGCUACUGAAAUAAAACAACAUCCAUUCUUUCAGAGUGUGAAUUGGGCACUCAUUCGUUGCACAAAUCCCCCAGAGGUGCCAAGACAAGCCAUGAUGGAUAUUCUUAUGAGAGCUGAUGCGCCAAAAGCACCCAAAGUUGAGAAUGUGCCAGGAGUAGAUGUGAAGCCUUCAGGUAAUUAUCUAGAGAUUGAUUUCUUUUGAUUUCUGUGAUCAGUGUCCUUCUUCAGAACAGCUUUCUACAGCCUCGUGUGUCUUGUGCUUCAAUGGUUCUUCUUCCAUUGCAAGGGGUUUUUUCCCCUUGGUAGCCACUUGUAAACUUUUCCUUUAAACAAGCAUGAUAAGCAACACUGAGGAAAAAGCAAAUGCAAUUAACUGAGGAAUGAAGUUGUUCUUUCAUUUCUGUCAAAAACUAUUGCCUCUUGUUAUUUCCACUCAGUGUUUAGUUUCUUAUUAUCCAGAAGCAUUGAUUUUUUUUUUAACCGAUCGAAUUGGUUUGCGUUAUUCGAGAGACACUCUGCAAGCGUUGCAUACCCUGUUGAUAUAUUUCAUUCAACCUGAAUUUAGCAUGGGACUUCUACCGAGUAAACAGACAUUUCUUUCAAGUGUUUGAAUAUAUGUAGGAUCAACAAUAGUAUGUUAAUGUUCUUGAACAUCAACUGGAGCUGGUAUUAUGGUUAAUGAGAAGCGAGGAGGAAAUUUGUCGUCUGUAAGUAACCGUGGCCGUAGCUAAGGCCCAC